rnacentral:rRNA from 1 species
UGUGCCAGCAGCCGCGGUAAUACGUAGGUGGCAAGCGUUGUCCGGAUUUACUGGGCGUAAAGGAUGCGUAGGCGGAUAUUUAAGUCAGAUGUGAAAUACCCGGGCUCAACUUGGGUGCUGCAUUUGAAACUGGAUAUCUAGAGUGCGGGAGAGGUAAGUGGAAUUCCUAGUGUAGCGGUGAAAUGCGUAGAGAUUAGGAAGAACACCAGUGGCGAAGGCGACUUACUGGACCGUAACUGACGCUGAGGCAUGAAAGCGUGGGGAGCAAACAGGAUUAGAUACCCCUGUAGUCC